UACGGGGGGGGCAAGCGUUGUUCGGAAUUACUGGGCGUAAAGGGCUCGUAGGCGGCCAACUAAGUCAGACGUGAAAUCCCUAGGCUCAACCUAGGAACUGCGUCUGAUACUGGAUGGCUUGAAUCCGGGAGAGGGAUGCAGAAUUCCAGGUGUAGCGGUGAAAUGCGCAGAUAUCAGGAGGAACACCGGUGGCGAAGGCGGGUCUCUGGGCCGAUACUGACGCUGAGGAGCGAAAGCGUGGGGAGCGAACAGG
rnacentral:rRNA from 1 species